CCAAGAUAUUGACUGAUUGGAAAGUCUGUGGGCGAACGAUGAGUUACCCAUUGUGGGCAGGAAGAAUGAGAUGGAGGACAGUAUUUACUGUAGAUGUAAACUGGAUGUCAUGAUUCAGCAUAGCCUAUCCAUGAGUGUGCUUCUGUUGGAGGUGCUCCCACAAGCAGCUGAUAGACCUGUUCAGAGAGAAUGUGGAAGACUGCGUAGCCAUCAGCAGCCCAGGCCAUCCCGGCCAGCCCCUCAUACAGGUUAACACAAAGACGCAGGAUGGAGUUAACUGGUACAUUCCUGAGUAAGAAACUGGUCUGAUUCAGGACUUGGUUGACACUAGUGUCUAUUCCUGGGAUUCUCUGAAGGAGGACUUCAGGAGUCUGCUGGCAUGCGAAGAGGACCACCAUCCCUGACAGACAGAGACUGGGCCCAAGGUGAGGCAGGUCAGGCAGUAGCCUCCAGUCUCCACAGAUCUGCCCAGAAGUGGCAGAAUGAGAUGAAUUUAAAGGUUGAUGGAAAGUCUGAAGUGUAGCGAGGGAGGGAGAGUCUCAGGGGGACGUCGUCAUAGCUUCCUGACAUGGAGCCACGGGC
ensembl:lncRNA